GAAGGAAGGAAGCAAGGUAACGAGCACAUAAAUUGAAUCAAGUACCUCUAUGUCUGCCUUCUCUAAUGUCUUUCGGCUUUGAUUUGGGGGGCAUGGUUCCGUAAUACAAAG